rnacentral:rRNA from 1 species
CCCUUAGAUGUUCUGGGCCGCACGCGCGCUACACUGAUUCAUGCAACGAGUUUUGUCCUUGGCUGAAAGGCCUGGGUAAUCUUUGAACGUGAAUCGUGCUGGGGAUAGAUGAUUGCAAUUAUUCAUCUUCAACGAGGAAUUCCUAGUAAACGCAAGUCAUCAGCUUGCAUUGAUUACGUCCCUGCCCUUUGUACACACCGCCCGUCGCACCUACCGAUUGAAUGGUCCGGUGAAUAAUUCGGACUGCAGCAGUGUUCAGUUCCUGAACGUUGCAGCGGAAAGUUUAGUGAACCUUAUCACUUAGAGGAAGGAGAAGUCGUAACA